UACGGAGGGAGCAAGCGUUACUCGGAAUUACUGGGCGUAAAGCGUACGCAGGCGGUCCCAUUAGUCUAUAGGGACAGGGCACAGCUUAACUGUGUCAGGCUUAUGGAAACUGUGGGACUUGAGGGCUUCAGAGGGAUGGGGGAAUUCCGGGGUGGAGUGGUGAAAUGCGUAGAGAUCCGGAAGAACACCAAAAGGCGUAGGCACCAUCCCUGGGGGAGUCACUGACGCUCAUGUACGAAAGCUAGGGGAGCGGAACGGG
rnacentral:rRNA from 1 species